rnacentral:lncRNA from 1 species
UAAUUAAUUGUUUGUAUUUGUUUACUAAGAGUCUUAGUGCAUCAAAAACAUCUUCUGUUUUGCUUUAAAACACUGUGAAUAACUUUGGGAAUAAAAUAGAAAAUGUAGGCAUGAUUUGCUACUUUCCCAGAUUCAGCAACAACAAUUUGACGUGUUUUUAUUUCCCUUACAAGAACAUUCGCCAUCAAUGAAAUGGAUAGGCUGGGGAUAAAGUGAACAUAAGGGCAUUCUCUGUGAAGUAUUUGGUUAUGAUCAGACAUAAGCCAGUGGCCUCUUCUCUCUCUCUGCCCAGGUUUCAGAGAGGCAGGGCGUGCUCUUCUUGGUCUCUGUUUCCCUUCUAAUCAGGUGUUUCCACCUUGGUCUCCAGCUUCUAGUUAACCUUUACUUUCUAAUUUGGAACUUCUUUUUUAUGGCCCCCCACUUACUUGGAUAGUGGGUAGAUAUGCAAAGGCAAAGUCCAGAGAGAAGGAAGAUGAAGAAGCUCUAUAAAGAGAAGGUGAGAUCACUAGAUGAGAAUAGCAAAAAAAAUCAUGUGGAAGCUGCCACGGCUUAAGGCUUGCACCCUCUGAAGCCUCAAACCGAGCUCUACGUUGGCGCCUUCCAGCCAUGGCUGGAGCAGCUGAAACACAGGGCACCAAGUCCCUAGACUGCACACAGCAUGGGGGCCCUGGGUCCUGCCAUCAAGACCAUUAUUUCCUCCUAGACCUCCGUAUGGUAGAACAGUCAUCACAAAGAAUUUGAGCCAGACCUGAAGGAAGAGUAGAUUUUGAAAGAACAAAAUUUGGUGCUUAGGCCACAAGAAAUAGUGGGGAAAUGAAUAUUUGGGGAGCAAUGACUAGAUGAGUCAGUCUGGCAAAAUCAAAGGAUUCAAAUCAUUACCAGAGAUAAGUAAGGGAGCAGCUCAAGUUGCUCUUGGAUGCCACAGUCGGGAGCUUCUGUCUUGCUCUGUUCUCCAUGAAAAACAGAAGACUGAGUCAGAAGAAAAUGCAUCAGGCAUCUGUGGAGAGGAUGGAAUGGAAA